rnacentral:rRNA from 1 species
AACUUUCAGCAAUGGAUCUCUUGGCUCUCGCAUCGAUGAAGAACGCAGCGAAAAGCGAUAUGUAAUGUGAAUUGCAGAUCUACAGUGAAUCAUCGAAUCUUUGAACGCACCUUGCGCUCCUCGGUGUUCCGAGGAGCAUGCCUGUUUGAGUGUCAGUAA